rnacentral:lncRNA from 1 species
AGCUUGACCCCAACAAUGCCGUGGACACUCUCGAUGGAAUGCCUUUGACAUGAUCAAAGAUCAAGGACUUAACCAUUAGACAUCUAUGAUGCCUCAGGUCAAAGGACUUCUUUGCAUAUUGCAACUUAUGAGUUUUUACAUGACAUGUAUGUUCGAACUCUCUUUUGAUCGUUGUUCAGUGUACUUGAUUACUCUUUCAAACACCUAUGUGUUUGUCUUAGUGUCCAACACUAAAUGACUUGAGACUAGUCAUACUCACGCUUAAGUUGACAUAACGCAUACUAACCUUAGCGGAAUGCCCAAUUGGCAAUCCUAUGGCUAGGAACGUUUUAGGAAUGAACAUAAGAGAAAGGUUUCGUUAAUUUAACUUACUUAAAUCACUUCUCUCUUAGAUCAAAUGCAUUCCUUGGAUUCCCUUAUUGCUUAAACACAUGAUACAAUAAAUAGUGAUUAACAAUAAGCUUUGCCCUUCAUUAAACAUAUAAUAGUUUAAUACAUUAAGUAUUCCAAAAGCUAUUACAUCAAAUGAGUGGCUUUGUGGGCAUACUUCCAACAGUUGUGCCAAGAU